ACACCCUGAGGUUCUGGAUGGAUAUGAAUUUUGGGGAGACACUAUUCAACCCAAUAUACUUUUUGCCUUUCUUCCUUAGAGCUCCAGCUAAUCCAGAUGCAACACUGACGAAUUAGUGCCGAAAUGAGUAUCAGCACUUGACCUGCAAAUCCAAGAGACACAUUUCUGGAAGAUAAGAGAGCUUCUUCAAGACCAAAAAAGGAGACGGCAUGAUACCCACGUAGGGAAUUCCCCAAAGCAAGGCUUGCCAAACCUGGACCCGAGGAGCCUGCUUGCUGGAAAGGCUUUCCUGUCUGAUGUGCAGGAGGCAGAAUGCCAAACUGACUCUUCAAGGGGCAACUGCAGGGGCUCGAGACCAGCCAGCAGUAUCUCAUCCUUCAAUACAGGGGAUAUACUAUACAGUCCUUUUUCUAGAAGUGAGAAGUACGAGAUUACUCUACAAGAGGAAGAUUCCAGGGGCUCAAAAACGCAAAGGUUUG
rnacentral:sRNA from 1 species